GCAAAUAGAAAGGAAGGGAAAGGAAGCAAGAGACAGCUAAAAUACUUUAUUUUUCCGACUGUAUCUUGAUUCUUCUUCUUUUUCUUCUUCUUUUUUUUUCCAUCUCCAUCUUUGC